CACUCGCUGCUCCGAGACAUUCGAGACCAAGACUGCGCUGCUCAGUUUGUUUGGGAUCCCUCUGUGGUAUUACUCUCAGUCGCCCAGAGCAGUCAUUCAGCCGGACGUUCACCCCGGAAACUGUUGGGCCUUUAAAGGUUCCCAAGGCUUUGUCGUUAUCCACCUCUCAGCUCCGAUCAGACCCACGGCCUUCACCCUGGAACACAUUCCCAAGUCGGUCGCCCUCCUUGGGUCGAUCAGCAGCGCUCCGCGGGACUUUGCCGUUUACGGUCUGGCCGACGAGAGCAAGGAGGAGGGACAUCUAAUUGGACGAUACACAUACGACCAGGAUUCCGAUCCGAUACAGAUCUUUCCAGUCCAGAACGAGGAACACGGAGCUUAUCGAGUCAUCGAGCUGCGCGUGAGCAACAACUGGGGUCACCCCGAAUAUACCUGUCUCUAUCGUUUCCGUGUCCACGGGGAUCCAGCGAAGUAACCUUCCGGCCGAUGUAUCUUUGUGCCGCGCGGGGGAAUAGUUAACGCCAGCUUUUCCGGGGCCUAAGUCGGGCUUCGUUUAUUUUUGUGUGCGUGCUGCAUCUGAAGCUACUCUUGCGAUCCAUACGAUUGCCAGGCCCUCUUUGCUCUGCUCCGAUUUGCUGCCCCGGUAAGAAAGAAAGCGAGAGAGAGAGUCAGCACUUUACUGGAAAGAAUGAAGAUAUUUCCGAACUAGAAUUUUUUAGGCCCCAAUUUUCCGGAUUAUUGGGUUUCCCGGUUAUUAUCUGAGAAUUGAAUAAACUGCGUUACUGUACGGGUCAGUGGACCAGUCAAUCAAAUCUACUGGAUGUUCUGUCACAGGACAAGAAUAUUUGGGAGUGGGGAGAAAUUUCCCCAACUUGUAUUUCUGUCUACUUAUCGCUGGGAAAAACAAACCAGUAAUCCACACCGAAGGACAGCGGGACACAUUGAAUCGUUUGAAAUGUUUGGGCAUGUCUUAUUAUCCAACGGCGAUUGAAAUUCUAUUCUGCAAUAUUUAAUAUUUUAUUUAAAACAGAUUUCCCCAUCAGCUGGUCCAGUUUUAUCACUCUUAAACGGCCGACCUAAUUUUUUAACUUUGUGGUGUUGCAACAACCUGCGGCAAAGGUGAAUUAUUCUGCGUUGGUGAUGUUAUUCAGGUCCCAGAGUUGGGCAACCGAUUUAGACUCCGUUAAAUGCCUUCGCUAUUUUCUUACUAAUCACUAGUUGCCAGGCCUGAUCUGCCACAGACGAUUCCCCACCCGUCGGGAGUUUGGAGAGAAAAAGAACUUAUUUUUCCCUGCAAAUCAAAUGCCAGCGUUGUAGCGAUACAACAGUGUUCUUACUCCCACUCUCUGCGAGCAGAGCAAACCUCAACGCUCCCUCAAGUGCUUUGUAGGACCUCUAUAUACUGCUAAUAUUGGGUAUAUUCCCCCAAACCAGGCGUCCUCAGACGAGGCUGGAUUGUAAGAGGGCGAGCACUUUAAUUUCAGAGACCGGCUUCUGGGACUGUUAUCUCCACAACCCCAUCGACCCCUUUUACUGUUGAUCAAGUAGAGGAUAAGAGAGAGAUCAAGCAGAUUGGUCUCUUAUAAUAGGAAUACCAAUGACAUUUAGAUAAAGCCCAACAGUACUGAUACAAGUUAUUUCUAAGCAGCUUGAGCGACACCACACAAUGAUGGAGGUGUCCAACCAUCCUGUAACCUCCUGUCCUGUUUGAUGGAGUAAUAGCAUUGUAAUAAUCCCACUGCGUAAAGCCACAGCUAAUUUACUUUACUAACUAGUUACAAAGGAAGUUUAACCCCCAAAGCUUUGAAUAAAGUGGGACAAUGAGGUGAUGGGGUUUGAUGGCAAUAGAUGACGAAUAUUCUCAGACUCUCAGAGAUGCAACCUAUAUUUGUAUAAAAAAAUAAUUUGGGGUUAUUAUGGCACCUUUCUGGUCAAAUAACUUCUCGAAAGAGCGCUCCCUCCGCAAGAUGGAAUUGAUCAGAAAUCCAAAAUGGUUGUUUAUUUGGGAAUAGAACGAAGAGGAGGGAAGAUUUUGUGUUGAAAACUCCCACAGCUGUGCUUGACCCGCCCCGAGCUCCAGCGUAGUUUGGUAGCUCUGAGCGUUUCUCUUUGACCAUGUGGUAACCACACGGAGUUGUUCUUUGACCUGAGUUAACCGCAGACUGUGUAAAAACUGCCUCGUAAUCCAGGAAGUAAACACGGUUUGUUUUAUUCAGCCAAUUACGCCCCAUCGCUGUGCAAAACUGCCCCUCAAAAGCUUGCCCUGAAACCAAGAGAUAAGCGAGACCUCACCCAGAACUCAGUCCUAACCCUGAGGGACGUAGAGUGUAAAUAAAGUGUAAAUGACACACAAACAGCCCUGAUAAGCACUGAUGGCAAACGAGGCAGUAUUAAUCGUGGCAGUAUCGAACGUCACCGCACUUUUAAGUGUCUUUCGGGAUUGACGAGAGAUUAGGGUUUCAUCCACUGCAGCGCAGUAAUUGAGGAAUGUGUAUUUUUAUUUAUUUUUGAUUUUAUUUGAGUUUUUACGCAACGUAUUGGAAGGCCGGGAUAUGAGAGACGUUUGCCUUGAAUUUCUCUGCCCACGCGAUGGGCCGAAUGGCCUCCUUCUGUGCUCUACGGUUCUAUGUGUAUCAA